rnacentral:rRNA from 1 species
UACGUAGGGGGCAAGCGUUAUCCGGAAUUAUUGGGCGUAAAGAGUGCGUAGGUGGUUACCUAAGCGCAAGGUUUAAUCUUGAGGCUUAACCUCAUUCUGCCUUGCGAACUGGGCUACUUGAGUGCUGGAGGGGAAAGCGGAAUUCCCAGUGUAGCGGUGAAAUGCGUAGAUAUUGGGAAGAACACCGGAGGCGAAGGCGGCUUUCUGGACAGUAACUGACACUGAGGCACGAAAGCGUGGGGAGCAAACAGGAUUAGAUACCCCCGUAGUCCCUGAGCGGGCU